GAUAAACGCUGGCGGCGUGCCUUAUGCAUGCAAGUCGUACGAGCUCCAGGGCUUCGGCUCUGGCGCGAGUGGCGGACGGGUGAGUAACACGUACGUAACCUGUCCGGAAGUGGGGAAUAACACCGCGAAAGCGGCGCUAAUACCGCAUAUGGUCGCCGGUGAGAGACCGGUGGACGAAAGCCUUCGGGCGCUUUCGGAGGGGCGUGCGGCCGAUUAGCUUGUUGGUGGGGUAACGGCUCACCAAGGCGACGAUCGGUAGCUGGUCUGAGAGGACGGCCAGCCACACGGGGACUGAGACACGGCCCCGACUCCUACGGGAGGCAGCAGCAAGGAAUUUGCGCAAUGGGCGAAAGCCUGACGCAGCAACGCCGCGUGGGGGAUGAAGGCCUUCGGGUCGUAAACCCCUUUUGCAGGGGAAGCAACUGACGGUACCCUGCGAAGAAGCCACGGCUAACUACGUG
rnacentral:rRNA from 1 species